GGAUUUUCUUAGUAGCGGCGAGCGAAAAGAAAAGAGUUCAGCACUAAGUCACUUUGUCUUUAUGGCAAAUGUGAGAUGCAGUGUAUGGAAUGUCAAAUUUCUAGUAUGAGAAAUUAACGAUUUAAGUCCUUCUUAAAUGAGGCCAUUUACCCAAAGAGGGUGCCAGGCCCGUAUAACGUUAAUGAUUACUAGAUGGCAUUUCCAAAGAGUCGUGUUGCUUGAUAGUGCAGCACUAAGUGGGUGGUAAACUCCAUCUAAAACUAAAUAUAACCAUGAGACCGAUAGUAAACAAGUACCGUGAGGGAAAGUUGAAAAGAACUCUGAAUAGAGAGUUAAAUAGUACGUGAAACUGCUUAGAGGUUAAGCCCGAUGAACCUGAAUAUCCGUUAUGGAAAAUUCAUCAUUAUGAUUUUAAUAUUUAUAAUAUUAUAAUAAUGGUGUGCAUUUUUUCUAUAAAGGACAUUGUAAUCUAUUAACAUACAAAUAUUUAUCAUAAGAUCAAGGGCGUAAGUUUAUUCAAAUUAUUUUGCUUGCAAUUUAACAUAGAAUAAAUGUCUUUGAUUUGAUAAAGUGUUGAUAGAUUUAUUAUAUAUAGUGCUUAAAUAUUUAUAUUUUAUAAUAGCAUAUUAAUCAUUGAUUUUUAUGUUUAUUAUAUGCACUUAUAUGAUUAACAAUGCGAAAGAUUCAGGAUACCUUCGGGACCCGUCUUGAAA
rnacentral:rRNA from 1 species